rnacentral:rRNA from 1 species
ACGGGAGGCAGCAGUGGGGAAUAUUGGGCAAUGGGCGAAAGCCUGACCCAGCAACGCCGCGUGAAGGAAGAAGGCCUUCGGGUUGUAAACUUCUUUUAUCAGGGACGAAGAACGUGACGGUACCUGAUGAAUAAGCCACGGCUAACUACGUGCCAGCAGCCGCGGUAAUACGUAGGUGGCAAGCGUUAUCCGGAUUUACUGGGUGUAAAGGGCGCGUAGGCGGGGAUGCAAGUCAGGUGUGAAAUCUAUGGGCUUAACCCAUAAACUGCAUUUGAAACUGUAUCUCUUGAGUGUCGGAGAGGUAGAUGGAAUUCCUAGUGUAGCGGUGAAAUGCGUAGAUAUUAGGAGGAACACCAGUGGCGAAGGCGAUCUACUGGACGAUAACUGACGCUGAGGCGCGAAAGCGUGGGGAGCAAACAGGAUUAGAUACCCUGGUA